AUUGAACGCUGGCGGCAGGCCUAACACAUGCAAGUCGAGCGGAUGAGUGGAGCUUGCUCCAUGAUUCAGCGGCGGACGGGUGAGUAAUGUCUAGGAAUCUGCCUGGUAGUGGGGGACAACGUUUCGAAAGGAACGCUAAUACCGCAUACGUCCUACGGGAGAAAGUGGGGGAUCUUCGGACCUCACGCUAUCAGAUGAGCCUAGGUCGGAUUAGCUAGUUGGUGAGGUAAAGGCUCACCAAGGCGACGAUCCGUAACUGGUCUGAGAGGAUGAUCAGUCACACUGGAACUGAGACACGGUCCAGACUCCUACGGGAGGCAGCAGUGGGGAAUAUUGGACAAUGGGCGAAAGCCUGAUCCAGCCAUGCCGCGUGUGUGAAGAAGGUCUUCGGAUUGUAAAGCACUUUAAGUUGGGAGGAAGGGCAGUAAGUUAAUACCUUGCUGUUUCGACGUUACCAACAGAAUAAGCACCGGCUAACUUCGUGCCAGCAGCCGCUGUAAAAC
rnacentral:rRNA from 1 species